rnacentral:rRNA from 1 species
ACUUCCACAUUGGAGUGGACGGUGGCGUCACCUCCAGCUUUUCAUACUUUUGAGGAAAUUCCUGCGAUUAAGGAGUCUUCUUCUCAGACCGUGUUAAAGUAAUUGAUUGUCGGGUUUCAAGUUCGAGGGUCUACUUUGAUGGACCCUCUUCUUGGCGUGGAGUAUAGUCUAUAUAUUUUUUUGUCCAAAUUUCAGAGAGUGCGCUAACGUAUGAAAUCAGCCGCCUGGGGACUACGGCCGCAAGGCUAAAACCCAAAGGAAUUGACGGGGGCUUACACAAGCGGUGGAGCAUGUGGUUUAAUUCGAAACAACGCGCAAAACCUUACCAAUCCUUGACAUAUGAAAAACCAGAGUGUUUACUUGCUCUGUUUCUUUUAUACAGGUGCUGCAUGGCUGUCGUCAGUUCGUGGUGUGAGCUGUUGGGUUAAGUCCCAGAACGAACGCAACCCUCCUUUGAAAUGAAGGGUCUCCUUUUUCAAAGACUGCCAAGGAUAUCUUGGAGGAAGGUGAGGACGACGUCAAGUCCGCAUGGCCCUUAUGGGUUGGGCUACACACGUGCUACAAUGGGAAUGACAAAAGGAGGCAACAUGGCAACAUUGAGCAAACCCAAAAAAGUUCCCUGAGUUCGGAUUGUUCUCUGCAACUCGAGAACAUGAAGUUGGAAUCGCAAGUAAUCGUAGAUCAGCACGCUACGGUGAAUUUGUAUCUAAGCCUUGUACACACCGCCCGUCACACUCUGAAAAUUUUCAUGCCUUGAAGCAAAAGAAAUUCGCAAUGAACACACAGCCAAAAAACAAAAGACCACACUUUCCUUCUUUUUAUCUGUGUCGUUGUUGGGUUCUUUUCUAGAGUUAGGAAGGUAAUUGGAGUGAAGUCGUAACAAGGUAGCUGUAGGGGAACCUGUAGCUG